UCUAUCUCUGCACGUGACUUGUCAGGGGAACUUUUCUCUGAUGCUCACACGAUGCGGGAACUUGUCACAUCUUCAAUCUCUGGGAACGUCCUCACCUGAAAUUGAAAGGUAGAACAAAGGCAGUGAAGGGUGCAAGGAUAUUAGAACUCUGUUCUGUGAGCUUUCAUGAACGCUGUGGAAGUAUCCAGGCAAGAUGGCCUCAAAUUAAGAUUUUAAUGACUCUUUGCUUUAGAAAGCACACUCUUGUGGUUAAUGCUAUAUUAUCAGGUGUCAUUUUUUAAUUCACAGGUGAAAGUUAAAAAAAAUUCAUACUU